rnacentral:rRNA from 1 species
AGUGAACGCUGGCGGUAUGCCUAACACAUGCAAGUCGAACGGCAGCACAGUAAGAGCUUGCUCUUACGGGUGGCGAGUGGCGGACGGGUGAGGAAUACAUCGGAAUCUACUUUUUCGUGGGGGAGAACGUAGGGAAACUUACGCUAAUACCGCAUACGACCUACGGGUGAAAGCAGGGGAUCUUCGGACCUUGCGCGAUUGAAUGAGCCGAUGUCGGAUUAGCUAGUUGGCGGGGUAAAGGCCCACCAAGGCGACGAUCCGUAGCUGGUCUGAGAGGAUGAUCAGCCACACUGGAACUGGGACACGGUCCAGACUCCUACGGGAGGCAGCAGUGGGGAAUAUUGGACAAUGGGCGCAAGCCUGAUCCAGCCAUACCGCGUGGGUGAAGAAGGCCUUCGGGUUGUAAAGCCCUUUUGUUGGGAAAGAAAAGCAGCAGGUUAAUACCCCGCUGUUCUGACGGUACCCAAAGAAUAAGCACCGGCUAACUUCGUG